CCCUUAGAUGUUCUGGGCCGCACGCGCGCUACACUGAUGCAUUCAACGAGUCUAAAACCUGGUCUGAUAGGGCUGGGUAAUCUUUUGAAAGUGCAUCGUGAUUGGGAUAGAUGAUUGCAAUUCUUCAUCUUCAACGAGGAAUGCCUAGUAAACGCAAGUCAUCAGCUUGCAUUGAUUACGUCCCUGCCCUUUGUACACACCGCCCGUCGCUCCUACCGAUUGAAUGAUCCGAUGAAUACCAUGGAUUGAGAGUUCGAACAGGUUCGCCUGUUUCAGCUUCUCGAGAAGUGGAAUAAAUCUUAUCAUUUAGAGGAAGGAGAAGUCGUAACA
rnacentral:rRNA from 1 species